rnacentral:lncRNA from 1 species
UCAAGCACAGCUCAUAUAUUAGAUCAUGAACCUUACAUGAUAUAAUUUUUGUUUCAUCUCGAUUUUUCUUGCAGACGAGGACUAGACAUCUAUUGACAAGAUCUUGCAAACACUUCUCAGCCUCUCCUUCCAAGUCUUUUUCUGAAUUCAGGAACCCCUCAGCCAUCCAUAACCUCAUCAAAUGCUUCACUGGAAUCUCAGUGUCUUCCGGAAAAGUUCCAAAAUACAGAAGACACGUUUUUAGAUCGCUGGUCAAGUGACUAUAACUCAACCCAAGCACACGUGAACAUUGCUCAUCCGGAUCAUUUGUGACAAAUGACGUGACAUCUUUGGCAACACUUUCCCAAUCUUCUAUUGCCCUUUUAGAUUUGAGAAGCCCAGCAACCACGACAAUAGUUAGUGGUAACCCGUGACAUUUCUCUGCGAUUUUCUUCCCAAUAGUUUCAAACUCCGAUGACAAUGCUUCAUUUGAAAAUGCUGCACUUUUAAAAAGGUUCCAACUCUCAUCUUGAUCCAUGAAGUUCAUCUGCAUAGAAAGAUUCUCUGUACCAGCAUAACAGGCUACUUCAUUGUUACGGGUAGUCAACAGUAUUCGACUCCCUGCAUUGUCUUCAGUUGGAAAGCAUUGUCUCACACCAUCCCACACUUCACAACUCCAGAUAUCAUCCAAGACAAUUAAGUACCUCUUUCUCUUUAAACUUUUCUGCAGCACGUCUGCUAGCUCUGCUUCACCCCUCGUCUUAACCCUGUCAUCCAUUUUGAUCGUCGAUCGCAAAAGGCCCAGCAAAAUUUCCUUUCUGUCGUGCUGUUGAGAUACUGUAGCCCAGGCAUGAACAUCAAAACGGCGUAGAACUGAUUCAUUAUUGUAAACUUCUUUCGCUAAGGUUGUUUUACCUAUGCCUCCCAUCCCGACAAUCGGGAUGACUUUGGGUUCACCAGAGUAGCUUGCAGUCAGAUCUUCUAACAACCGCUCCUUUUGAUCAUCACGUCCAACCAUACUGUUGUUAACAUUUAGAAUAUUGUUUGUUGAACUUGAAAAAUCUUGAACCGUUGAUUCCUUUGAUGCUUGUUUUUCUUUAUCUUGAAUCUUUGUUGACUCUUUCCAGAUACGAUCAAUGUCCUUUGCUGCUUGUUGCAGGAUAUCAGAAAGCCUCUCAUGUGCCUUUACUCUCAUGUGCCUUUUCAAUACAACUUCAGUUACUCUUAGUUGAAUUGUCUGUUCAACAAUAUUUGCAACUUCUUUUAUCUGCACUUCCAAAGCUGUCAGUUCCCUAGAAACAUUGUUUUUCUCAAAGUUCUUGAGAAAUACUUCCAGGGAACUAAUCUUUUCAUGAAGAGCAGAAAAGUCUUCUCUGUGAUCACAGGAUACAGAUCGCAUCGGUGAAUUGGAUGACAAGAGAGAUUCUAUUGUUCUCAGAAGAGAAGCCACAUUUGCAUGAGCCAUAUCUACUAUAUUCACGUUUGCCUUUGUGAUUAUGUCCUGAAAGCUGCAGGUUGCAAGAGGUCAAUGGUAUUAUAGAUAUCGUGAUACCAUUCUUUCGUGAAUAUCUGUCUAUAUCUAUCGGAUCGAUAAUCUAUCUGUCCAUAUAUUGGUAGGAUCGAUAAUCAAUCUAUCUAUAUUCGGUCAGAUCAAUAAUCUAUCUGUUCGUGUGAAUCAGGUUUUUGAUUAAUUUGUAAUUUUUAAAAGAUUUUGGUGGGAGGGUUUUCUAAAAAUAAAUUCUUGAUAGUUGGUGAUUUGUGGACUAAUUUAUAACUUUUAAUUCUUAAAAUUAAAUUUUAAAUCACAGAUAAAUUAAAAUACUCAAAAGGAUGAUAAACAAGCAUUCCAGUAAUAAAAUGACAAGGUCAAUAACCUUUUAGUGGCAAAUAAAGGUUAAAAGGACUGCAAACUAAAAGCUUGUACUGCAGCAAAUACAAUGACAAGAAAAUAGAAGAAAUUAAACACAAAUAUGAAUAACAAUCAACAAAUGAAUGAAGCAAGAAAAAUGGCGGACCCAUAUAGCCGUGGGUAAUCAUGUUUGUAGGGUGUACCAACUAGUAAAGGAAAGAGUUGAGUCAUGAUUUAAAAGAAUGUUUAGAAACUCCUGAGUUGUGACCAUGCGUAUUUACUUAUAUUCUAUUAGAUUGAUUUCGAAUUGCUUUCAAUUAUCUUACAUGAAUUAUACGUUAUUUUUGGUUGUUCUACAUACCAAUACUUUUCAAGUAUUGACCCCCUAUAUUUCAGGUUCUGAGCCACAGUCUCAGAGUCCAGCUAAACAGUAGAUUAUUUCUAGAUAAUCAGAGUUGGUGAGCCUUCCUUACUUCGGACGGCAUCUUUCCCAUAUGUUGAUUCCUUUUAAGUUUCGUGGUCCGACCGGGGGGCCUUGUCCCGAUUUAGAAAGACUAGUAUGUUCAGUUUAGUUGAGGCUUCGUAGAUUUGUUUUGAUUGAAUUUGGGUUUUAUUGUGGAUUGUUGUCAUGACAUAUUAAGUUUGAUUAUGGAUCCUCUUGUUUUCAGUUUACCUUCUGCAUUUUUAUUCCAUACCUAUUAUGCUUAUGAUCACAUGCUAAGGGUCUCUCGGGCAUUCGUGGUUCGGGAUUCUUGUCACGGUCAGGGCCUCGGUACGGGUCGUGACACCGAGGUUAUAGAAUAUAUCCUAUCAGGAUAAAAAUUCUACCGAACAACAAACACACUCAAUGGUAGAUGAUCAUACACGAGUUUUGUAAGAAAUAACUACAAAUUUUCGUACCAAGAUCUAAGGAAAAAUAAAAUAUUUAUAACCAAAUGGUGUUUCUUCAACUUUCUCCUUUUUGAAGCUAAUAUUUUAUUUCUAAAUGUAACGUCUUCUCCCAAAUUGUUACUUCUUUAAUUUUAUUUCUGCUCUUCUUUAAUUUUAGUACCAUGUCUUUCAAAAGAAAUUUAUUAAUAUACAUACAUAUAUAUAUAUAUAUAUAUACAAACAUACACACAUAUAUAUAUAAGGGAUGGGGAUCCUUAUCGAUCUCUUUAUAUAUAUAUAUAUAUAUAUAUAUAUAAAAAAUAUAUAUAUAUAUAUAUCGGUCGGAUAAAAAGAGAUCGAUGAUUAAUCUGUUGGACUAAUUACGAUAAUCGGCCAGUUAUUGAAUAACAUAGAAGACCAAUGUAUAAUAACGAUUGCAUCGAUAAUCGAUCUAUUCGUGUAUCGAUCGAAUCAAUAAUCGAUCUGUCCACAUAUCAGUCGGAUCAAUAAUCGAUCUAUCUAUAUCAAUCGGAUCAAUUUAUCUAUAUCGGUCGGAUCGAUAAUUGAUCUAUAUCCAUAUAUCGGCCGGAUCAAUAAUCGAUCUGUCCAUAUAUGAGUCGGAUCGAUAAUCCAUCUAUUUAUAUCGUUAGGAUCGAUAAUCGAUCUCUCCGAGCAUAAAUUAUGACAUACAAGGAUGAUAUACAAACAUUCCAAUAAUAAAAUGACAAGGUCAACUAACCUCUUCGUGGCAGAUAAAGGUUAAAAGGACUGCAAACUAAAUGCUUGUACUGAAACAAAUACAAUGACAAUAUAAUAAAAGAAAUUAAACACAAAUAUGAAUAACAAUCAACAAAGGAAUGAAGCAAGAAAGAUAUAUUUAUAUAGUAUAGUAACCAAGAAAAAGGAUCUGAGAAGAGGCAGAAAAAUGGCAUACCAAUAAAGGGCUGCAAGUAAUUAUGUAUAGGCAAUCAGAGUUACCAAGCAAAUUCUAUAUAAAGAAGAAAUGAGUUGACUUCAUAAUUUUUUUUUAUUUUUUUUUAAAGACUUCAUAAAAUGGGUAUAUAAUAUUAAUAUAAAACAUGGGUGUUAGUAUAUAUUAUACUGAACCAAGUUGGUUACUCUUAACUGGCAUUGUAGUUUCCCAGAAGAAAAUGACAGUCCAAUGUACUGGUGGGGUGUGGAGAAGGGUCGAACCAUAAGGGUCUACUGUAUCCAGUCUUACCUUGCAUUUCUGCCGGAGGUUGUUUUUAUGUAUUGAACUCGUGCUUUUCUCAUCACGUGGUAACAACUUUACCAGUUACUCCAAGGCUCUAAAAAGUGAAAAAAAAAAAAAUUAAUUCAAUACAUGGAAAGAAAGAUUAAUUCAAUACAUGGAAAGAAAGAGUUGACUUCAUAAAAUGGAGAAGGGUCGGACCAUAACGUAUGUUGCACGCAGUAUUAUCUUGCUUUUCUGCCAGAGGUUGUUUCCACGACUUGAAUUUUUGGCCUCCUAAUUACAUGACAACAACUUUCCUGGUUGCUUUGAUGCUCCAACAUACAAGGAAAGAAAGAGUUGACUUCAUUAGAAAAAUGUGUUCAAUCUCGGGAAGAACAUUAAUCUUUUUCAUUUGAGUGUUGUACAAUAUAAUAUAAGAAACCAUGUUAGGUGGCAACCACUGAAUUACUUAAUAGCUGAUCAUUGGAAAUUCUGAGAUCGCAUUAGCUUAGAUCACUGAUUAUUUAAUCAAAUACACCUUUUCAAAAUUCCGAAAUACAGAAGACAUGCUUUUAGGUCACUUGUCGAGUAAUUCUAACUCAACUACUCGAGCACAUGUGAACAUUAUUCAUCCGGAUCAUUUGUGACCGAUGACUUUGGAAACAUUUCUCCGAUAUUUUAUUGUUCCUUUAGAUUCGACAAUCCCAGCCAAUAGUUAGUGGUGACGCUUCCCUUAUGAUCUUGAAUCUUUUUCGGCUCUUCUUGGACACGGUCAAUGUCCUUUGCUACUUACUUGUUGCACGCUCUCACAAAGUUCCUCAUGUGCUUUUCCUCUCUGCGGUUCAUCUUCUGCUAUCAUAGCUUCUCGUAGUCCAAAUUCAAUUGUCUUGAGCGAUAUUUGCAAAAUCUUUUCUCCAGGCUUCCAAAUCUGUUAUUUCCCCAUAAUCACUGAUUUGUUUCUCAGUGUUCUUGAGAAACAAAUCAGUGAUUAUGAGGUACAAUUAGAAGGGGAUCUCUGGAAUAAACGGAUAAAACAACAUCUUACAGAAUUCAAGGUAAAGCUGCGUACGAUAAGCCCUAGUCGUUCGGUCCUUUGCGGGAGCUUUAAUGCACCGAACUAUUAUUUUUUAAAGGCACGAUACAUAAACAUGCCUUUUUAACUUGGAAUCAAAUGACAUCUAUGACUUCAAAUUUUGGGUGUGCACAAGUAGACAUUUAAACUUGUAUAAAAUUGAACAAGUAGAUACAUAUACCCUAUGUGGCAAAUUCCAGAAUUUUCACUUAUGAAGUUGAAGAAUAAAAAAGUAGUGCCUAUAAUUUGAACUUGGAACUACUAACAUAAAUUUGAAACCUCUAAACUACUUAGUCAACCUCUUGUCUCGUGGUCAGGAGAUUUGCAUAUAAUGUUAUUUUAGGUGCUUAAAAAUAAGCGAAUCCAAACACUCCCUAAGUAACGCCUAGGGAAGUGUGACCAAGGAAAAUGGAAAUACUAGAAUAUAUUAUUAUAAAACAUUCACGUGAUUGCAGCCCCAUGUGCCAUGUUUUAAUGUUUCACUAACUUAAUUUAUGCAACCCACUUGUGCCAUGUUAUAGUGUUUCAUUAUUUUUAAAUAUAAUUUAUAAUAUAUUACAAUAAUUUUUUAUUACUGUCCAAUAUUUUCAUGGGACAGUUACAACUUACGAACAACAUGACUUUUGAUAUGAAGGUGUAGAGGACGCGGAUUAGGGUAGAUGGAUAGUAGGUAGGAAUACGUUCGUAAUAGUAGGGAAGAGUGCUUUGUUUGUAUCUGUGCCUAUAAUUUCUUGUAGCCUGUUGUUCGUGGUAUUUUGGUGAUGUCUAUGAUUUCAUCUAGUUAAUUUAUAGCAUUGCUUUGUGGAUGUCUUACUUCCAGUGGCGGAUCUUGGAUUAAGUGGUCGUGGGUGCCCGAGAGAUCCGACCACAGUUAUUGACGCUGAAAGCUUUAAAGUUUCGUUGAAAAUUAAAGCACCCUAUCUUCUUGAUUUAUUGAGUGCUUUUGUAAGUUUUAUACCAAUUUUAAUACAUUUUUUUAUAUAAUUAUAUCUAAUUCGCAUCGAAUUUAACAAGUGCCGGAGUACCCAAAAAUUAGCCUUAGGUCUGCCUCCGCUUGUUUCCUUACUAUCUAGCCAUGUGAUAUCUCUUUGUGUUGUAUUCUUUUGUGUUUUUUUGUUUGUUAUACUCUUAUAUGUCCUUAGUCGGGGGUCUAUUGGAAGCAAUCUCUUUACUUCAUCUAAGGUAGUUGUAUGGACUGCGUACACUUCACCCUCCCCAGACCCCAUUUUGUGGGAAUACAUUGGGUAUGUAGUGAGGCCUGGAAAGGGUAAAGUGUACACAGACCUUAUCACUACCUUGUGGAGGUAGAGAGGCUGUUUUCGAAAGUAUUGGAAAAGACGAGAAAAUUUGUACAUGUCUAAAUCCCUGAUAAACAAAUUUUUUGAGAAAAGUGUUGUAUUCCGUUCAUAUGAGUGAAGCUGAAAUUAGUUCCGAUGAUUGACAAACAGCUACAAAAGUCUACAAAUCAAAAAUCUGAUGUAACAACUCAAAUUUCUCAACAAAACUGUAGCGGAGACUACAAGAUAAUAGUGAAAAAUACAAAGAAGAACGUAAGUAGAAGGAGAUGAGAGGAUAGCAGACUAAGCAAAGCUUCAACAUAAUUGCAUAACCCCUUCAAUAGGGACUGCCUCCUUUUAACGUGCUUGCUUAACCCAGAUCUCAGUGGAAAUCCACUCAGGCCCAAGUCCAUCGUUUACUGUGUUAUUACUUGUGUUGUCGACAAAUCCCAUAUCGCGGUUCAUAACAUCUGGAAUCUUCAAUCCUUAGCAAAUAUCAGUCGGAAUCAGAAUCACUUCGGCUAAGUUCACAUUCAGCUGUAGCAAGAAGAACAAAAAGGGUCAACUAUAAACUUCAAAAUUGUUUGAAACUUCAAAGGCAAUUAUUGUACUCACCUGGAUCGUUGUAAGAACGAACCUCCACAGCUUUUUUUCCUAGGUAUUCUUUCUCUUCUUGAAUUCGCGCAGCAGAAGUCUCGAGUUUUGCACUACAGUUCUGUAACUCCAUUAGUUAUCGCGAGUAAAUAUCUGCAAACUCAAUAGGGAUCUCCUCCAAAUGAAGGCAAUGUCUGAUCACCAGAUGCUCAAGAGCAGGAAAAUGAUCAUCUGUGGCUUUCCAGUACUCUAGAUUUGUACCUUCAAUUAUCAAAAACUUCAACCUACGAAAUCCUCCUUCAAUUGGAUGCCAUUCUAGGCCACGACAAGCAUUUGAUUUCAGCUUCAGCACCUCGAGGUUAGGCCAUUGACCUAUGAUGUUCAAGUCCUCCCAUACUAGACGAGUUCCAACCAGCUUUAACUCUUGAGCUUUGUUGGAAAACGUGUUGCACUAGGUUCACAAAUUGUAGAUUUGUGAUCUUGAACUCCAGUGACUUACGUGAUAACGAUCAACUUUAAUACUCAAUGUUUCUAGCUGAUGCAGAUCAACAAUUUCACGCAAGUCCAUAACUUCUUCACGCAUGUCAGUCAUAGACGUGUCCCCGAAUACAUAAUUUCUUAAUGUUUUGAAACCUGGAAAGGACUUUCUUAGUGCAAUAAUAAGGAAGCAUGCCCGAAACAGUCUGUAUGUUUGACGAUUUGAAAUGUUGGAACUAUAUUUUUUCUGGAGAGCUAAAAUGCUUAUAUUACAUCUCAACAAACAAUAAUUUUCUAAUUCAAGAAAUGAGUUGCAAAUAUCGAUGUAUAAUUUCAUAGACUCUAUAAUCGAGUCAUUAUUUAUCUCACUUACCUCGAUAAUAUAUCAAAAAGAUGAUUGUUCACAAUAAAAAAAUGCUUAUCUCUACUAGUUAUUCUGAGCAGCUAACAACCAAAGAUCUUAAUUAUCAUCAUGUUCUGCAGCAUCAGCAUCAGAAUCUUCAUCUUCUGCAACAUCAACAUUUGAAUUUUCUUCUUCAUCAUCAUCGCCCUUGGCAUCAUCACCAUUAUGAUGUAAUCAUAAUAGUACCACUGUAUGACGUGACUUGUGAAAAUGAGAAACUGUGUGUAACCUUGAUAAAUAUAUACUUACCUCGAUAAAAUUAAUACAAAGUAUUGCACUUUUUGAUAUUUCAAUUAUUUCAUAAAAGAGUUGAAUCCAAGUAAACCUCAUUUUACUAGAAUUUAUCCAAUCAAUACCUUAAAAUUCAUGUGCAAAUGACAACAAAGAGAGCAAGCAUCUACUCUUCUUUUUUCAUUUUAUUUUUAUUGUAAUUUAAUGGCAGGGUUGGACAUUAGCCCAUUUGUUCGUUCAACCCAUCUUAACCUGCCCAACUUCAGCCCAAACAACCCAUUUGCCACCUCUAUGAGUAACAAUUAGACCAAAACUGCUCAAAAAUAUAUUUAAGGGGCCAUUUUGAAUUACCCUCAAAUAUAAGGGAUAUUCUUGUUAAUUUCUCUUAUAUUUUAAGUAGGAUUUUAACCAAAUUUUGUCAAAAUUAUUUUUGUGAAAGAAUACGGGGCAAAGCUAAAUAACUUUUGUGCAUGACUUGACUUGUGGAAAUGAGAAAGAGAGUGUGACCUGAUAAAUACAUAUACUUACAUGGAUUGGAGAUACAAACAUCCAAGUGGUCGUUUCCGAGGUCUUUUUGUUCUUUUUUAAUUCGUGCUGCAGAUUCCCCAAGUUCGGGAAGACACCUUGUUAACUCAAUCAGUUGUAGUGUGUGGAUAUCUGCAAACUCGAUGGGUAUCUCUUUCAAAUGAUAGCAACCUCUGAGCACAAGACGCUCAAGGACAGGAAAUUUGUCUUUUGUGGCUUUCCAAUACUUGAGGCGAUUAUCUUCAAUUAGCAAAAGCUUCAAUCGAGUAAAUCCCUUAACAUUUGGAUGCCAUUCUUCGCCAUCACAAGCAUCAUCCAUCAGCUUCAGCACCUCAAGGUUAGGCAACUCAGCUAUGAUGUUCAUGUACGACCAAUCUAGAUAAGUACUUUCCAAAUUCAACUUCUUGAGCGUUGCUGGAAAAGCUUUUGCACUGGUCACUGGCAAAAGGAUGCAAGAACAUCUUAUAAAACUCAAUAUUUCAAGUUGCUGCAGAUAGACAAGAUUGUUGUGAAGCCCAGAGUCCGAAAGAUUGUUUCCACGGAAUCCUAAUUUUUUACCAUUCUGAAUCCUUGAAAAAACCAACUUCGUGCAACAACAGGAAGAUAAGUAAGAAGUAGUUUGUAUGUUUGAAGAACCCACGUGACUCCCUUUGUCAAUAGAUACGGUUAGGGGAUUUUGCCGAUAAGAUGAGAUCACUUUGAGAUGCCUUAAUUGCAUUAGUCCCCAAAUUUCCUCAGGAAGAGUUAUAACUAAUCCAGUAGGCCCUUUAACAAUGAAUGUCUGCAGAUUCCAUAACCUACAAAUUUCUGAAGGUAUGUCUAAAUUCUUAAGGAGUUGCAAUGAUAGGUACCUCAGCCAGAUGAUGCUUAGUAUCUGUAGAGGGAAACUAUCAAUCCUCACGUGACUAACAUCCAAGACUUUGAGUAAUUUGAAAUGAGUAAGCUCUGAUUUGAGAAUAAGCUCUGAUUUGAGAAUAAGAGUUGAAAUGCCACGAUCAUAAAAGAAAAUAGAACGGGUUUGUUUCAAAAGAUCAUUGUUGUCCUGAUCUCUCAACUGACGAUGUACAGGGGUAAGAAGAGCCCUAUAAAAACCACCGCCAAAAUUAAACAUUUCCACAGGAGUCCAGCAUUUAAAGGGAUUCAUUUUAUGCAUACUGAGAGAUUUAGCUUUUCUUGCAUGUAAAUGUUCAAACACAAUCAAAUACAUUCUACUAAGAGAAUGGCAUCCUGAAGAAACAUGAGCUGGCUCACAAUCAUCUGGUUUUUCAAAAACAACGUCGUUCAUGGUAAAAACAUUUCCCCUUUGAAUUUCUCUCGAGCACAGGUUGUAUAUUAGAUCAUGAACCUUACAUGAUCUCGACUUCUCUUGCUGACGAGAACUAGACAUCUGUCGACAAGAUCUUGUAAACACUUCUCAGCCUCUCCUUCCAAGUCUUUUUCUGAAUUCAGGAACCCCUCAGCCAUCCAUAACCUCAUCAAAUGCUUCACUGGAAUCUCAGUGUCUUCCGGAAAAGUUCCAAAAUACAGAAGACACGUUUUUAGAUCACUGGUAAAGUGACUAUAACUCAACCCAAGCACACGUGAACAUUGCUCAUCCGGAUUAUUUGUGACAAAUGACGUGACAUCUUUGGCAACACUUUCCCAAUCUUCUAUUGCCCUUUUAGAUUUGAGAAGUCCAGCAACCACGACAAUAGUUAGUGGUAACCCGUGACAUUCAUCUGCGAUUUGCUUCCCAACAGUCUCGAACUCAUAUGGUAAUGCUUCACUUGAAAAUGCUGCACUUUUGAAAAAACUCCAACUCUCAUCUUGAUCCAUAAAGUUCAUCCACAAAGAAAGAUUCUCUGUAUCAGCAUAA